rnacentral:lncRNA from 1 species
GGAACACCUCCGCGUCGCGAACUUGUUUCCCGACGAAAUCUGCGAAAAUAAAACUCAAGUUUGACUUGUUUAAAAGGUCCAACUAAGUGAGGGUUAGUUUGGGUACUUUGGGGAAUUAUUAUAAACGGUUAUUCUACCUAUUUUAGGGUAAUUUAAGUUGGUUAAAACCCCUAAACCAAAAAUUAGACCCCAUUCUUCAAAUUGACCCUUCCCUCUCAAAAUAGAUUCUCUCAAAAACUACAUUGAAGACCUUGAUGAAGCUCAA